rnacentral:rRNA from 1 species
UGGGGAAUAUUGGACAAUGGGCGAAAGCCUGAUCCAGCAAUGCCGCGUGAGUGAUGAAGGCCCUAGGGUUGUAAAGCUCUUUUACCAGGGAUGAUAAUGACAGUACCUGGAGAAUAAGCUCCGGCUAACUCCGUGCCAGCAGCCGCGGUAAUACGGAGGGAGCUAGCGUUGUUCGGAAUUACUGGGCGUAAAGCGUACGUAGGCGGUUAUUCAAGUCAGAGGUGAAAGCCCGGGGCUCAACCCCGGAACGGCCUUUGAAACUAGGUAGCUAGAAUCUUGGAGAGGUCAGUGGAAUUCCGAGUGUAGAGGUGAAAUUCGUAGAUAUUCGGAAGAACACCAGUGGCGAAGGCGACUGACUGGACAAGUAUUGACGCUGAGGUACGAAAGCGUGGGGAGCAAACAGGAUUAGAUACCCUCGUAGUCCCUGAGCGGGCUGGCAAGGCGCAU